rnacentral:lncRNA from 1 species
GUUCUACGUUCAUGCCUCGCGGGCCCCUGCAUUUACAAGAUGGCUACCGCUCACGUCGAAGCGUGGCUACGCAUGGCUACAGUGUAAAGCGCGGUUACGGCACCCUUCUGCUCCUGCUUUUUGUGUGUCUGUCAUUGAAAGCGAUGUAUGUCUGCAGUCUCUGUGGUACCACCAAGACGUCUGUGCCACGUUUCGUGAAGUAUGCCGCACUGCACAAAAACAUGAAUGCAUCCUGCAUGAAGUGCCCAUUGGAACAGCACAGAAAAGUGUUCCGAGAGCUCCUUCUCUGAGCUAGUGCUACGAGAUACCGAGGACGAAAAUAGGACUGUAAAGAAAACGAAGAGUCCAAAAGGAUUUAUAUGGUUUUGUGUCAUGGAAGCCCAAAUUACCUGCACUAAGACACAACAAAAUGGAUUACACUAAGUUGGCACUGAUGCUAUAGUGCCCUAAGGUGGUGCUGCAUCUCGAGCUACCAGAAGGCAAGUACAAGUGAAGAUAACGUCGGAGACGUGCCGUG